GAUUUGGGUUUGGUCAGCACCACAUAUUAGUCAAUUGUGGGAAUAUAUCUAUAUAUAAGCCAAUUUAUCUUGGAAAAUACCCUUUUAAGUCUUAGCUAUGUCAUCUAACAUAUAUAUGGUUUUUUUUUUACUUGACGUUUUUUUAGUUUUAUCAUUUUAUAUAGAUUAGAGGUAAAAAGACUCAGAACUACAUACUACAGCGGGGGUGAAAGCUUUUGACAAGCUUAGAGAUGGAAUGUCAUGAUUUUUGUUUGGUGAUAGGCUCGGAGAAUGAAAUAGCCUUCUUCAUUGAAGCCAGUGAAUGAUUAGAGGUAAAAAGACUGAGAACUACAUACUAUAGUGGAGGUGAAAGCUUUUGACAAGCUUAGAGAUGGAAUGUCAUGAUCUUUGUUUAGUGACAGGCUUGGAGAAUGAAAUAGCUAGUGACAAGCUUCCAGUUCCAGAGCAUGACCACUUUUCUUUUUUCUUGAAUGAAUGGGACUUUGUGGAUUUAAGUUAUAUAUAUAUAUAUGUUGGAUGAUUUGCUGAAACAAUUUGGGUUGAAAAGAUAUGUAACUGAUAUUAUAUUGUUUCUAUUUAUUUUGAUGUCUUAGAUAAACAUAAA